rnacentral:sRNA from 1 species
AGGAGAAGGGUUUUUGCUGGCUAACAGUUUUGAUGAUUUUUUUUCCUGUGGUUUGUUUGUUUUUUACCUCGCUGCUUUCACUUGGGGUAAACGAGUAGACAAGGGCAGGUGGUGGUUGGUAGAAAAGACACAUUCAUGUCAGAGCAAAAGCCCCAAAGACUAGAAUUCUACAUACCCUGUGCAUCAUGCCCUGUGCCCUCUACCCCAUGUCUUUUCUUGCCCCCUUUAGUAACAUGGCAUGGGGAUGAAGCCUUGUACUCUUGGGUUUGGGUGGGGUACUCUAUACCAAGUCCUAUCACAUUUCAAGAGUGGGUGAGGUCCUGAAUGAAGGCUGCACAUGGAGUCAAUGGAUGUGCCAGGCUCUAGAGGAUCUAGAGAUGAGAGUCAGAGUUAAUGGGCAAAGGCUAAAUUAGAACUUGACUGUUCUGUAGAUGAGAUGUGAGCUAAACAUGAUGUGAACAUACAGAAAUGAAAUAUAUUAUUUUACCUAUUGUCACUAGAAUACUGCUAUACUCUUGUAAUUGAUUUAGCCUCUAUUUUUAACUAUUUGUUUUAAAACAAGACCCUUACUCACUAUGAAUCCAUUAUAGAAAGUAUUAGCUCAGUGAUUAUUUUCCCUACUAUACAUUUUUUGUUCUGUGUAUAUGCAUACAUGUUCACAUUCAUGGAUACCUGAGGUUGAUAUCAGCUGCUUUUUUCAAUGACUCUCCACCUUAUUUUUGAGAUAGGGUCUUUCACAGAUCAGUUAUGUUACCUGGACAGUAAGUCCCUGGGUCCUCCUGUCCCUGCCUUCUCAGUGCUGGGAUUGCAGGCACAUACACAAUUCAUGGGAUCUGAGGAUCAAACUUGAAUCCUUGUGCUUGUGUGGACAUCAGUCAAUGACCAGGCCAUCUCCCUAGAUCUCUGCUGCAUUUAGUGGAACCUGUACCCCUUCCACUGUAUUUAUUUUUAUAUCCUAAACAUUAUUAUUGGCUCAUAAUAUAUGUUCAGUAAAGAUUUAUUGAGUGACUAUAUAAAAUGAACACCAUUAUCUAAGAGAACAGGACAUGGAAGCUACUUAACUGUUAAUACUUAGAAUACUGUAGGUGAAGCACAUAUAUAUGGCCGCAUGGUGACUAAGCACUGUGAUGCUUUCGUUCACUUUUUAGGUGACACGCGAGCUCUGAGAUUUGGCUUGUCUAAGCAUUGGAACCAGGGUUUUAAUUCUUAAUGUUCUAGAUGUCUUUGCAAGACAAGGCGUUGCUAGGUCAUGAUGGAAAGCAAUCAUACUCUGGAUGGGAGCUGGCUCAGUGGGAAAAGUUUUUGCUGCACAAGCAUGAGGACUCCGGCUCCAUCCAUAAGACUUGCACAACAGGAAGGUAUGGUGGCACAUGCUUAUCAUCCCAGCACCCAGAGACAGAGACAAGAAGAUCCCUGGAGCCCUCCGGUAUGUCAGCCCAGUCUAAUUGGUGAACCUUAGCCCAGUGACAGACCUCGUCUCAAGAAAACAGAACAGUGCAUGGUACUGAAGGAUGUGUUCUGACUUCCACAUACACUGGCAUCUAUGUAGAGUUGCAUACUCUGCACAUACACGCACCACAGAGAUUAUACAUACAUUAUAUACAUGCAUCACAGAUACACAUCAUACCACACACUCAUACACACAUACACACUCACAUACACAUACCUCCCUACACACAUAUACCACACACAUGCAUACCAUGUCCAUUUACUACUCUCCCACCCCACACAAGAGUUAUAUUCUGUGAAGUCUUACUAUGUAGCCCAGCUUGGUCUUUCUACCUUUCUACCUCUGAAUGUUAACAAAAUAUAUAGGAUCGAGCCCCUAGCCCCAGCAUGAAAGUGUUUUCCUUUUAUUUUGGUGUCUAACUUUUGCGGCAGGUAUACUUCUAGACUCUGAGAAGUGGGGGAUGGAGAAGCACAGACUAUGAACUUGUUACUCAAAGGUAACAUAAUUUCUUUAUCUUAUCCUUAUGUCUGACACCACUGUCUACAUAAUCCAGAGAAGCAGAGCAGAAGUUAAGCCAGGUUUCCUCAGCCUAAAGCAGGAUGGAUUAGAGGCUGUAGCAAUAAAGUCAAAACACAAACAUGUUUUCACAUACGUGUUCAAUUACACUUAAGGCCCUGCUUAUUUCCCUUAGAACUUCUCAGUGUCUGUCCAAUAAGAAGGGGAGGUUGAUUUGGGAUAUGAAUUUUAUGAAUAUAUAACAAAGCUGACUGCUGGGAAGUACCAUUUUAAUAUAGAUAAUUUAUCUGUGAACCCAAUGUCGUUUUUAUUGAAGUCAUUUUUCUCCUUAUUGAGUUGAGGAUGAAUGUUCUCUACUGAAUUCUGUCAUCAUGGCCAGACCAAGUUCAUUAACAGGACGACACACCAUUAACCAACCACACAGAGUUGUGGGAGAUUGAUGCCACAGCCCUUCGGCCACCUGCUUCUCUGCCACCUGAAAGGAUGAGUUCUCAGAACUGCCACCCGGAAGGAGUGACUUUGGCAGGGACUAUGAGAGAAGAAAAUGAUGUUGUCUCUGGCUUUGGGACCUAACCAUUGCCCCAUAACUGCUGUUUUAUGUUCCUUAAAUUCAGAAAAGCAGGUGUCCUUCAGGCCUGGAGAGCCAGUCUACACUUUGCAAGUCUAGGCUAAAAUGAAGUUGUAAGUUAAAGCAAGCUAUACAAAGUGGAGGAAACAGAUUAACAUGUCUGAUUAUUCAUUACACCUUUGUGGAGCCCCUGCCAGACACUUGCUGUUUCCAGAGACUGAAUAGAGUUGGCUGUCUGGUGAAGGGGCUGUGUUGCCUCAGGCUCUGCCCUACAGCUGUUUGAUUUCCCUGUGAUUUUGAAACUAUCUCUCUAGAACUAUCAGGUAGGCAGGGACAUGGAUGCCCCAAGGACAUCAGUGUUCCGGGCUCACUUCUCUGCACACUGUCUCCUUUGUGAUCUGAAUUGGAUUGACUUGUGUUCAGAUCAUGUGUAUCUUUGGAAAGGGAGAACUUUUGAUGCAGGCUCCUGUGUACAGGUCACUAAAGAUAAAUGAGGACUUGUCUUAUUUCUAACUAGAAAAAUAUGUCUUCAUAUAUGCACCUAAAAGAACAUGUAAAACAAACCCCCCCCCACACACACACACAACACACAGGCAUGCACGCAUGCACCAAAGAGACAUGUUCUCCAUCCUCUCUUAACAAAUGGCAAAAUUCUAGUAGAUCUGGAGCUUUUUCUUACAUUAAAAUUUAAAUACAGACACUAAGAUGUUGAAUUGUUAUUUGAGACAGGGUUUCACUAUGUAGUUCUGACUGGUAUGGUACUUGAUAUAUUAGUCCAGGAUAGCCUUAAAUAGAGAUCUAUUUGACUCUGCCUCUUGAGUGUUGGGAUUAAGCGUGUAAGCUACAAUACUUGGAGGAUAUUGACUUUUUGAUACAGAUGUGUUUUUCUGGUUCUCUCACACAAUUCUUGCCCAUUCUUCCUUUCCACAUUACUCUGAGUGUGCCUUCUACCUGUCUGAAGCACAUAUCCACUGGCUUGGCCCGGUCUUUGCUUAGGUCCCUCAGGUCUAUUAUGCCACCUGCAGAUCUGGCAGAAAGCACCUUUAAUGCCUCACCAGGAGCACAGCUACUCAGUAGCUACAUAAAUAUCUCUAGUUCUGCUGUGUCAUUCUAUGAUGCCUUCCAGGGCGUCCUGGCUGGUUCUAUAUCGACCUUUUCUGGUGGCCCUUUCUUCUGGUCUUAAUCUGAUUCUUUCUUCUGACUCCUAUAAAAAGGACCUUCCACGGUCCCCCUUUUACAUAUCUCUGAAUCAAUCCUGAGAGGUAGGUGGGCAAGAUCUGGCAGUGGUGGUGAUAGGUUAUAGCUAUUGUCCUCCAGACUGAGGCCCCAGAGCUAAAGUACUCUUCAAUUUGUCCAAGAUUGAACAGCCAGGAAUGAACAUAACUGUAACUCUGGUCUUCGUUCUACACUCAACCUAGCAGAUUGUUGUCUUUCACAUGUAAGAAAGUUGUAAAGCUGUGGUUGUCUGAACAAUAUUGCUGAGAGUGACCCCUGAGGAUCCACCCCCUAAGGGACCACUGGUAAUGAAUGCACGUUGGGGCAUGAUGUGUCCUUUUCAUCAGUGGUGUAGCCAAUGAAGUGCUCUUGCUCCAGCAAAUGACCUUUCACUGAUCCCAUGCAAGAAACUUUAAAUAAACUCCAUGGGUCACACACCAAAAAGAAACUCCAGAAAACCAGAAACUCCAUGGGUUUCUGGCUCCUGUUGAGGGAGAAAGGAAAACGUGUCCCUUGUUUCCCUUUGUGUUGGUUUCUUAGUGGGUUUGCUUUAUAGGGUCUUAUUGGAUACACAUUAUGAAGAUAUAUUCUUCCUAGAUAAAGGCAAGAUAAAUCCCCAUUUAUCUCUAGCAACCAUGUGCAGGAGCCUGCAUCCAAAGAAACAUGUGAUCUGAACACAAGUCAAUCCAAUUCAGAUCACAAAGGAGACUGUGUGCAGAGAAGUGAGCCUGGAACACCGAUGUCCUCGAGGCAUCCACGUUCCUGCCUAGCUGAUAGUCAGAGUAGGAGAUGGAUUUAUUGAGAAGAAGAGUUUAGAGAGGGAUGGAAGCAGAUGAAAUAUGGAGAUGUGUGCCUGAGUGUGUGUGUGUGUGUGUGUGUGUGUGUGUGUGUGUAAAAUAACGUAAAUUUAUUAACUAGUUGUAUGAAACUGUCAAACAGCAAAAUGUUAGAAAUAAAUCUUUGUUGUUCCUCUUGCAGACCAUUUGCAUCAUUUGACCUUCACAAACUCAAUGUCAACCUGUCUCGGUGUGUAUAUCUAUGCCAUUCACCAGCUAAGACAGAUACUUGUAAACAGGCAGUCUUCUUUGAUUGUCCCAGCCCUCCCUGCAAAGUUUUCAAAGAUACAACAAACCGCUGUUCACUCUUACACAGGAUUGCUGUAAUUUAUUUUACCUGAGGGCAAAAUCUUAGCUAUUUAGGAAGUCUUAUAAAAAUCUCCAGAUGGCUUAAUUAUACUAUUUUAGGAACCAAGGACAUAAAAAUAAAAUGGAUAGAUAAGCACAACUCAGAAUCAUAGAGGAACAAAGAGCAAAAGUCAAAAAAAAUUAUCUGAGUCUUCAAAGAUGUGUGCUUCUGACUCAGGGUGAGACUCAAGCAACAGGAAGAACACGAAAUUCCUCCACCUGAUAAAGAACAGUUAACAUCAGAGCAUGGAGGAAAUCCCUCAGUCACCUUGAAUCCUGACUCUUCCACAAUCUAUAGACAAGUAACAGAAGACUGUUCUGCAAGCUGAGAAGUCACCCAGCAGUGAGGAGAGGCUUUAUUCUAAACGGACCUGGUGUUCUACAGAACCACAUGAGUCUAGGUAUGCAUGCUACACCAGGCUGCAUUUUAUUCUUUUAAAUAUUCUAAGGGCAGAAGCUAGUUUGAGGGUGAGAGGCCAGGGGCUGGGUUUUAUAAACCCAGCUUUAUUUAUUUUCAAUUAUGAACCCUUCCAGGUUGGAAAUAUCUCACAGAUGAUAAAGUGAGCAACAGAAAAUCACAGAAGUUUCUCAAAGUUACACAACUAACAGCAAUAAUCAGAGGAAGGACUGAACUUGUGUCUAAACUCACAACGUUUGUUAUCCUGAUUCUCUCAAGUCAAAUAAUGAGCAAGUGGUCAGGACUGAUGGCAAAGCUAUUUGGGGCUCUUCUUCUGGGGUCUUCGGUUAUUUUCUGUAUGAUCUCAUAUAAAUAUUUAAUAUAGCUGUGCCUGAAAGUCACAUAGAAAAAUCAGAUGUCCUCUUACAGUGAAAUGAACAUUAACAGGACAAUUAAUGACAAACCUCUGCUGUGUCCUAUGACAUAGGUACAAGAUGAGCAAAGGCCAGGUAGGAUUAUUUUAAUAUGACUUUCUUCAUAAAGAGCAAAUACUAUUUGAAAAUGGUUCUUGGAUUCUCAAAUACCACAGUACAUCUAAGCAGAACUUGAUUCUUUGAAGACACAGAAAGAAGUGUCUGAUCAAUGCUACUUUAAAAAGUUUGGAUGAAAAUGAUUCUAUAUUGGGGCAGCCCAUCUGACCCACUGGCCUCUGUCUGCUUUCUACCAGAAGAAAAAAUUUCAGGCUGAAUUGUAAGGUGGUUGCUUUUCUUACUGUCUUCUGAUUCAAGAACUUCAGAUGUAAAUUUUAGAUAUGUGUGUUUCAUUUGGAAUAUCCGUAGAGGUCAAAAAAUAAGGGUCCAAGGAGAAAGGGAGAUUGAAUGUGGUACUAUUAAGGGGUAUAAUGGGCAUCUCCAUAAAAUCUCUCUUUUCAGGGAUCAGGGAAGAAGAAGUGAAAGAAUGUAAGAUCCAGAGGUGAUGGAGGACUUUAUGGAAUCAAGGCCUUCUGGAUACAUAUAAAAACUCUGGACACAUAUAUAAACUCAGUAAGUCUGAGGCAGCAUGCAUAGGACCUGCAUGGGUCUGCAGAUUGGGUCCUAGAGUUGAAAGGAGACGUGGGCGCAUGCCCCUAUCCCUAACUCAGAAGCUAUCUCCAACUGAUAACCACUUGCAAAUGAAAAGCCAGUUUUCUCCAAGGGACUCUCACUAGGCAACAAAUCGCUUAUAAGGUUAGGGCCCAUGUCCAGCAGUCAAAGGUCAACACUAAAUGACCUAAAUAAAUGCUAUUGUAUUAUAUUAUUGUAUUGUAUUACUACUCUUUGAACUCCUGUUUGUUUUCUAAGGGAAGUCAGAAAGGGGUUAAUCUGGAUGGGAGGGGAUGUAGGGAGGAACUGGGGGAGGGGAAACUGUAAUCAGAACAUAUUGUAUGAAAAAGAAUCUAUUUUCAAUUUAAAAGUGGGGGCAGUAAUGGACCAAAAAUUAUAAAUGGGGUGGGAGGUGGGAAGAUAUGCAAAAAAACUAAAACUAAUGAAAACUAAUUAAUACUGCAUGUCUUUUGAGAAAGUAGAAAAUCUGCUACUGUAGACAUUUAUCAAAAUAUAUACAUACAGAUAUAUACAAAGAGUUUAAAUAGAGCUACUUUAUAAUGGGGUGAUAAUGUUCUGUUAGACACUUCAGGCUAACAAGUGAAAGGCCCAGGUUCAGAAAUGGGCUACUUCUUUAGAGCUAUGGCCAGUGAGGUUCCAUAGAUCCACAAAUAGUCUUUUGCCAGUGCUCUAGGUUGCCCUCCAGAACUUGAUAAGACCUUAUUGAUAAACACACCUCAUACCUGAGACAAAGAAUAUGGAGAAAUCAAGUUGGUUUCAUCCCUACUGGUUAGUUUCCUUGGUACUGCCAGGCAGAGAAAGGUUAUCAUCAAUAUUACUCAGUCAUGCAGCUUGUGAGUCAUAAUAAUGGCCCAUUUGCUAAGACAUGGCCACUGGUGCAUUAGUGGCACAAAAGUUAUGGGAGCAAACAAUCACUCUCUGAUUGAAUUUAAGGCCCAUUCCAUAAGUUAAAACUGAUACCUGGCAUUAUUAUCUGGGCCAAGAACUUGAUAAUGGAACUACUAGCAUUAUGGAUAUAAGUAUAACUUACUAAAUGACUUCUUUUUAUACCCAUAGAUUAGUACACCUCUCAAACUUCAACAGAGAAUCUUCUUUUUGCAGGAGAUAGCAACUAAUACAGCCCCAAGCAGGUAUGUCCAGGAAGAGGGAAUGGUCCAGCAGAAGUGGGAAAGAAUCACCGUGCACAGUAUCUGAUGGAAGCCAUGAGCUUUUUUCUACAAUGAUUGGCUAGAGGGCCCCCAGCUUUACCCCGAGAAUUUAUUGGUGAGUUCUUCAUUCAUUCUUUCUUUGUAGACACUGCUUCAUUUGCAUUCAGUGACAUGCAUCUUUGUGUGGGGGACUCUGAGCUUUGUCUCCCUCUACAAGGUCACUGAUAGAUGCGGGAAACUAAAAUUUCUGUCACUCAAGUAGCUCUUCCUCAGGUAAAGAAGCAACCAGUGUUCAGAAGAGACCCCAUUCAGAGAGUGGGUGGUGUUCCUAGGAAGGGGUUGCUACUAGUAUUAUAUUUUAUAUAAAAUUUUAUAUUUUAUAUUUGCUCCACAGAGAUGAGGGAAAAAGUGAAAUUUUAAUAUAUUAAGAAUGUAUUGAGGGAAUAUAUUGAGGGAAUGUAAUUUUCUUUCUGAUUAUAUAGGUUUCUCUGUGUGUGUGUGUGUGUGUUUGUGUUUUAAUGUGUGUAUAUGUAUGUAUGAAAGCCAGAAGUCAGUCUUGGAUGUUGUUCACUUGGUUUAUUGAGAUGGGGUCUCUCACUAGAACCUGGACACAUCAAUUAGGCUAGGCUGACUAGCCAGCAAACCCAGGGUAUCUGCUUGUUUCCACCUCCCCAUCACUGGGAUUAUAAUCGCUUGCCAGCAGACCUGCCUCUUUAGAUGAGUGCUGAGGACUGAAGGAAGACCCUUGGAGUCUGCAUGACAAACACUUUAUUGAGCUCUCUCCCAGCUUCUUGAUUGCACAGCUUUUAAGUCUCCAAUACGCAGUAGCAUUGCAGGGCAAGGAAGUAGGACAUGCUUCCACUGCUUGACUUCAGCAAGACAUAAUUCAUCAAAAUGAAAGGGCUGUCUGCAUGAGAAGUAAUCCCUGACAGUUCCCUUCUUCGGAAAACUUGAAUGAAAUUAUCUCUGGCUCCAUCACUACUUCUGAGGCGCCAUAUCCAUGUCUACUUUACCAAGUCCGCAAACAAUUAGCUUUAUUUAUUGUCCCUAAUUUAAAGUACAAAAUGAGUCAUAUUAAAGUGAACAAACCACACGCAGUGAGAGCUGUGGAGGUGGAAUACUCCCCCACUUCCCUAAAAACUGUAAUGUCUACAGUUAUGAAACUAUAGCUUUUCAUUAACGAGUUGUGCUAUUACACAAUGGAUACACUGAUUAUCAUCCAUUAGUAGGUAACGAGCAACAACCGAAGCAUUGAAAAAUUGUAAUUAUGGUUAUUUAUCAUUGGCGAUAUAGUGAUAUUUAUGAUUCUAAUAAGUUAAAAGAUCAUUUUACACACAGAGGCAUAGAGACCCGUGAUGAAUGAUUGGGGCAUGUGAGUGGCUAUCUGACCACAGGAUUUUUUUAGUUCUCUGACUUGACUGUGAACCCGGAAGAGAGAAUGAAUAUGACUCAGUAAACAGGGCAAGAACCAGCUGCGUGUGAUGGGAUGCUGGUGUGGAGAGUUUCAGGCACCAUGCAUGCCUUAUAAUUUAUAGGAACCUGUGGUGUGGACUUUCUCAAGAGCAGCUGCAUGGAAAGCUGUCUCUUGUUUUCCCCUCUGCCUGGUGUGAACUUAGCAUGAGAAGACAUACAUAAGAUACACUGUGGUUGCUGCAAAGCCGCAAUCCCCAGGCUGUUGGCAUCUUGUGUGAGUAACUUUAUCAGCGGAGAAGGGCAAAGAACAAACGAGCAUUUUGUAUCAGAAUUGUGCUGGUGUUUUGCUCUCACGGGCAAGCAGACUGGUUAAGUUUCCUCCUCAGGCAAGGGUAUAUGUCCUGCUGUAUCCCAAACUGACAAAUCAUAUACCAAAAGAGAGAUUAAUUUUAUUUUUAAUCACAACAACCUAUGAGCUUCAGUACACGUUGGCUGGGGCAGAGAAAAAGAAAGCAUCAAUAUUUUCACUGUGCAGUCACUACUGCUAUACCCUCCAUGGUCUGUCUCCAUAUUUCCUAUUUAGCUCAGGCCCAAGAGACCAAGAUUUUUCCACUUUGAAGCCUUCAUCUUCAAAUACUUCAAGGCUCUGGAGCCUUAGAGGCACAGACACUGAUUCAUUACUCUUCUGCCUUACGCACUACCCUUCGCGAUUUCACAUCAGAAUGGCACCAGCUGUCAUAUUUUGAGGGAGGCUAGAGUUGGGAUUUACCAAGUCUAUCUUGGUUUAGCCUGGGUGUCUAAAGUUUGUGUUGUCUGUUUGUCCUAGCUAGAUACCCUCUGGGCCUCCAUUCCUGUGCUUGUUAAGGAGUCAAAGGCAGAAGGGCACACCCCACAGUCAGGCAGAGCCUUGUGUUUUGAACCUCUGCAUCGAGACAUGUACUUUUCCUGAAGCAGCAUACUCCCCCUGCUUAUUAAAAAGUCUAAACCACCACAACCAAGUCUCACCUUCUGAUGAUGCAGAAUAAGUCAUUGUCUCAAUUAAACUGCUUCCAGCACUGGUGAUAUGCUGUAGUGAAUGACAGUUAAAUAGUCUAUAUUUUCAUUUUACCUAAAAACAUCUUCUAGGGAGGCCGGAAGCUGUGCAUGCCAGGAACCUGGGAUAGACUUGCUUUUUAUUUCCAUAUCAGUUUCAUUAGGUUGAGUAUACUAGGAAGGCUUUAGCAUUAAGUCAUAACAGUUAAUUCUUAAUAAAACCCAAAUUAGUAAAGUCAAGGGGGAUGAAUUAUAUUUAAGUGGCUUUGACUUAAACUUUUAAUUUGACUUGCAGCAGCUGGAUUUCGAGUUUCUCUUUCAUAUUCUGUCUUCCCUGGUUUCAGUCACAUCUAUCCACAUAUUAUCAUCUGUUACCCAUAUAUCAUCUGCCAACCAUCCAUCCAUCAUCCAUCACCUAGUCAUCAAUGCAGCAUGCAAGCAAGUAUUCCACUAUCUAUCCAUCUAUCCAGCCAGCAUCUAUGCAUCCAACUAUUCAUCAUUUGUUAUCCAUCCAUCAUCUAUUCACCCAUCUGGCAUGUGUGCAUGUAUGCAUGCAUCCAUCCAGCACCCAUGCAUCUAUUAAUCAUCUGUUAUCUAUCCAUCACCUAUCUACUAUCCAUUCACCCAGAAUGCAUGCAUCCGCCCAUCCAUCCAGCACCCAUGCAUCUGUCUAACCAUCAUUUAUCCACUCACCAUUCAUCUACUGCCUAUCCAUCAUCAUCUAUUCAUCCACCUAGAAUGUAUGUAUCCAUCCAGCCGUCCAGCCAGCACCUAUGCAUUAUCUAUUAUCCAUCCACCAUGUCUAUCCACCCACCCAUCCUUUCAUUAUCCACCAUGAAGAUCUGUGUGGAUGAGAAGCUAUAGAGCUUUCUCUGCUUAUCUACUGUAAGGGUAAACUGCAUCUGUGCCCUUUUAGUUAUGAGACUGGGUCCUCUAUCUCUUGUUCUCCGUGUGGCUGUGACUGACAACACUAAUAAUCCAGCAGUCCCCCUUUGGCCUAUGUUCGGCAGGAAGUACCACUCUGAGUGACACCUGUCCAGAAAUCACUGUAGGUACUGAGAGGCCUAUUAGCCACAGAGAGGAAGGACUCUAACUGAGGAAGACAGUCGUUGGAGGCUGGGCUGAGAGUGAGAGGUAAUUUUCACCUCCAAGGAUCAUGUUUGGAAGAAUGAAAAGGGUCUCUGCCUUUCUUUACACUCUGUUGUUAAAAUCCUUUGAAAGUUUGGCUUCCAGCGGGUGUGUGUUUGGGAGAGGUCAGUUCUCUGCAUGAGGCAUGCUGCCUUACUGAGUUUGGGUUUCUUUGCUUGUAAAUAAUAUCUCACACAUGGAUCAUUAUGGGAAAAAAAGGGUAUUUUACAGAAAUCAUUCUUUCCACAUUACUUAAUUUGCUUCUUGUGGUGGUCUGAAUAUGCUUAGCCCAGGGAGUGUCACUACUAGGAGGUGUGGCCUUGUUGGAGGAAGUGUGUCACUCUUGGGAUAGGCCUUGAGACCCUUCUCCUUGCUGGCUGUGAGACAGUCUUCUCUUGUUUGUUUUUGGAACAAGAUGUAGAGCUCUCAGCUCCUCCAGUGUCAUUCCUGCCUGUACUCUGCCAUGCUUCCCACCAGGAUGACAAUGAACUGAACCCAAGAAUCUGUAAACCAGCCCCAAUCAAAUGUUGUCCUUUAUAAGAGUUGCUUUGGUCAAGGUGUCUCUUUCCACCUUGUCAUUUCUGAUCUUAGUAAAACUGUGACCAGGAUGGAAGUUCUAGAGGAUCCCUGUCAAGAUCUU